rnacentral:miRNA from 11 species
UGCAGGAACUUGUGAGUCUCCU